CAUAUGUUUACCAGCGUCUCGUUUUGGGCGAUAAGGGGUGAGGGGGAGUGGGAGGGGGCCUUUGUGCACAGAGGGGCCCUCCGUUCAUUUUAAUAAGAUCUUCGUUACGAAUAUAUUUAGAUAACCUGAGCAUAUUAAGUUCGUUUAGUAGCAGUGUGUUUAUGUGUGUUUGGGAGGGGAUAACUCUGCAGUUCCCGUGGUUUUGAUAAUAGCUUAAUGCGGAUGGUGUCAUGUGGAGGAGAGCGGCCUGGGAUGGAGCUUGAGGCCGAGCUGAGGAUGCAGGGAGCCGCGGAGGAGGAGGAAGAGGAGGAAGAUGGUUCUUUUUUGUUUGUGUUUUAGGACGGGAGCGGGAGGGGCGGAUGUUUGCGACAGAAGGAAAUGAAUUAAGCGUGAGCUCAUCAAAUGGAUAACGACUGACAAUCACGAUUAUUGGUUAUUGAUUUUCAGCUUUCUGGGGGUUCUUAAGAUUUCCUAGGAAUACCUUUAUUUUAUAGGAGAGAUGGCUGGCAUCAAAUUAAGAGUAUCCUCUUGUUUUAAAACUGAUUUGAUUCCUUUAUUUUUCAAAAAUGUCUUGGAAAUAAAAUAAUUUAGACUCAUUGUGUCACAUAAUAACCACACACUUCAGGGUAUUUUAUUUUGAUUUUAUGUGACAGACUGAUAUAAAGUCAGUCAGAUGGAGCUAAAUAAAGAACAAGGAGUAGGUUCACAACCAGAAUUACAGAGGAAUUGUUUGGAUCAAACCAUUAUUGUGUCAGAAUGGCCUAGUCAAAUAUCUAACUGAAAAUCUGUAACAAUACUCCCUCCCUCCAGUCUGACUGCUUUCCAAAGAAUCUUGGGUAAUAAUUUCAGUACAUGUUCAACAGUCGUGGAGACAAACAUCAAACUAUUAGCAGUUGUUAUAGCAACAAAAGGUGGAAUCACAUAUAACACAAAGAAAAUCUUUUGAAAUUUACUGCUGUACUGAGAUACAAUGUGAUCAAGUUUGAACACCCGAACAAGGCAAUGUGUUUUAGCUAUUUUCUUUAUAUUUGUACACUCAAGCCUAAAGACAAUUCAGAGAGACCAGUUGACCUAAAAUCAUGUUUUUGGCCUGUGGAAAGAAGCUGGAGUUCCCAGAGAGAUUGUUGUUGGCUUCUAUUCCUCGAUCUGCUAUUUGAGAACUGACCACAGUCUCACAACACAGUUAAGAUUAGGUUGAGUUUCUUGACCACUAAGGUCUUUUGCUUGAAAGUACACAGAAGGUUCCUUUGAAGGAUCGGUUUCUAUCCAGACAAAUAAUUUUCCAGGUUUAUUGGAGGACAUGACCCUGUUAGUCUCUUCUUCUGAUCGGUCUUGUACUUAGUGGAGAAUUCCAGUCAGUCCUUGACAUUUUUCUUAGAUAUAAGGGAAUUCUUUGCGACCCAAAAUUGUUGUGAAAAUGUCUUUGCCGUGCUGUGUGCCGAUUCCCUCAAAUCCACUAACUGUCAAUAUUGAGCAAGCGCUGCAGUGGUGAUAACCCAGCUCUGGAUCUCAUGUGGACACUUUCACAUCCUUAGGAUUGCGUGGUGCCCUGUUGUGCCUGUCUAAAAAAGACUGAUUUUUAAAGUUUACGCAGCUCUUUGCUACAAAUUAAUAUGGAUCUGAUCAGUCUGUGAUUACCUCAAGCUGAAAAUUUUACAAAGAUUUUGGUCACAACUGCUAGAUGUGUCCAGAAUGCAAAAAAAUUAGACAUGAUUAAAAUGUUGACAGAUGCACAUGUUUUUGCUGUAAUGGGGCAGUGUCCUAGAAAGUUGUGAAUUGGGUCACAUCUGUAUUUUCCAUCUGAACACAAAACAUGUUUAUUUAAUGAGCUGCUGCUCAGAGUUAAGAGGCUAAUUCAGCUGUGGGAACUAGUGGAUCCGUAAAAUGCACGACACUAGCAACAAUUAAGAUAGUAAAGAUGUGGAACAAAGAAAGGUCUUGAAUUCUUGAAGGAACAUUUAAAAAAUUCAACUUUCAAUUUGAAUGGACUCUUUCCAUUGAGUGGACAAAUCUGUGAAGAGAAAACUUUAAACAAAAAUCCUUGCUGGCACAUUCAUAGAUACCUUUGUUGUCAGCAUUUUGUACAACUUUCUUUUCCCAACAGAACAGCAUUUUGUACAGUCAGACCACAGAGAGAUGGGAGAGUUGUGCUUUUUCUCUUUCCACAAUCUUAUUUUUUUAUAUAUAGAAAGAGAAACAGAAGGUAGAUUGUGACAGUUAUCGGUUAUUUUGUUUCACAGCAGAGUAGAUGACUACUGGGUGUCUAGUGUUCAUUGUGUGCAUCAGAGAAACAGCCUGGAGUGAGAAACUGUCUCUGUGAUGCCUCUCAAUUGCUGACUGGAAGGGAAAAGUCUAAACAGUCCAAGAUGUGUGAGAUCUGUGGGAAGAUGGUCGCUAUCCGUUUCCUGACGCUAGAGCUGUACAAGUCCUGGACGGAGGAAAGGUCAAACCUGGCGAUCCUCUCUGAAGACCCGAUUGUUUGAUCCAGGUUUGUCCCAUCGUGUUUUAUGAAUGAGCCAAGCCACACAGACACAUUGAAUAUUGGCAGUGUGGAAGAUGGCCACCGGCCGCACUGUACUGUACUUCUUGAGCUGCUGCAGGUGGUACGAUCUCUGCUGGGCCUUCUUCCAGACUGUGUCUGUGAGUGAGGACCGUCUCAGGUCCAGAGUAAGGACUGAGGAUGGUGAAGACUCGUCAUUGACCUGGAUCAGACCAAUCACAGUGAUGUCAUCUGGAAACUUCAGGUGUUUUAUAGACAGGUCUGCUGAGUUGCGGUCAUGUGCACAGAGAGAAGAGGAGUGGGGGGAGAACACACCCUGAGGGGUGCCAGUGCUGAUGGUUCUUGCGCAGGAGAAAAUAUUCCACAGCCUCACCUGCUGCUGCUGAUCGGUCAGGAAGCUGGUCAUCCACUAACAGGAUGGGGCUGGCAUUGUGAGCUUCUGGUGGAGGAAGUCUGAGUUGAUCAUGCUGAAGACUGAGCUAAAGCCCACAAACACUAUCCUGGCGUAUGUUGAGUCAUCUAUUGACUGGCUGCCAAGCAAACUGCAAGGGGCAUGUGAUGUCCUGCAAAUGCUAACAUCAGUCACUCAAAGGAUUUCAUGACCACAAGCAUCAGUUCAACAGGUCUGUAGUCGUUUAAUCCUGUUAUGGUCCAUUUUGGGGGGCUCAGGUUGAUGGUGGUGUCCUUGAAGAAAGAGGGAACCUCGGGAACCUCACACAGCUUCAGAGACUUGCUGAAGAUCUGAGUGAGGAUGGGGGCAAGUUGGUCAGCACUGGCUCUCAAGCAGAAAAUGGACAUUCCUGGACUGUUAGCUUAGAAAUAGUCCUUUAGCUUCUCACUGUAGCAUCUCUUAGCUGCCCAGAUCUCCUUGGUCAGUCUGUUCCUGGCCUGCUCAUGCAGGAUCCACUCUGCCCUGAUGUUAUCCUCUUUGGUUUGACACAGCUUUAGCUGAUGUGAAGUGAAUCAUGGUUUAUUGCAGUGGUAGACACCACUAACUAAAAAGUUAGAUACGCUAACCUUAACUUACUAAUUAGUAUUUGUUUCACUAAAGUACUACACCAACAUGAUAUUUAGCAGAAACUAAUGCACUAAACUCAGCCAUGUGUCAAUGACGCAACAUGUGUCACCUACAACAUACUGUAUUACUCAACAGAUACUUGGUCAGGUUUAGGGUCCAAUUAGCUCUCCAUAUGGGGACAAGUUGGAACUUUAUUUUUCCUAAUAGAUAAAGUCAGAUCACAAAUCUGUGUGUAGACAAAUACUUCUUAUGCUGAUGGUAUAUGGCUCAUAUCCCUACAUAUUAAGAGCUACUUUACUUCCUAAUAGGACAAAAAUGUUGCCUUGAGAAACAAAGUCUAAUGCAGAGGUUCCCAAACUGUGGGGCGCGCCCCUUAGGGGGGGCGCUGUGCCAUUGCAGGUGGGGCGCGGGAAGCCGUCUGGAUAAAACAAA